rnacentral:rRNA from 1 species
GACGAACGCUGGCGGCGUGCUUAACACAUGCAAGUCGAACGGUAAGGUCCUUCGGGGUACACGAGUGGCGAACGGGUAAGUAACACGUGGGUGAUCUGCCCUGCACUUCGGGAUAAGCCUGGGAAACUGGGUCUAAUACCGGAUAGGACCACUGCCUGCAUGGGUGGUGGUGGAAAGCUUUUGCGGUGUGGGAUGGGCCCGCGGCCUAUCAGCUUGUUGGUGGGGUGAUGGCCUACCAAGGCGACGACGGGUAGCCGGCCUGAGAGGGUGACCGGCCACACUGGGACUGAGAUACGGCCCAGACUCCUACGGGAGGCAGCAGUGGGGAAUAUUGCACAAUGGGCGCAAGCCUGAUGCAGCGACGCCGCGUGAGGGAUGACGGCCUUCGGGUUGUAAACCUCUUUCAGCACCGACGAAGCGCAAGUGACGGUAGGUGCAGAAGAAGGACCGGCCAACUACGUGCCAGCAGCCGCCGUAA